rnacentral:sRNA from 1 species
GCACAAAAAAAGCUGAAUCUCCUUUUCAGGGAGUACGGAGAAACCAAAAUUGGGGUUAAUCCAUCUUUGUAUGGUAGGGACGCCUCUUUGCCCGCACCCGUCAGCUAACUUCGGAAGCUAAAAAUAGGAGGAUAG